rnacentral:rRNA from 1 species
UACGUAGGGGGCAAGCGUUAUCCGGAUUUACUGGGUGUAAAGGGAGCGUAGACGGCAGUGCAAGUCUGGAGUGAAAGGCGGGGGCUCAACCCCCGGACUGCUCUGGAAACUGUACGGCAGGAGUGCAGGAGAGGUAAGUGGAAUUCCUAGUGUAGCGGUGAAAUGCGUAGAUAUUAGGAGGAACACCAGUGGCGAAGGCGGCUUACUGGACUGUAACUGACGUUGAGGCUCGAAAGCGUGGGGAGCAAACAGG